rnacentral:ncRNA from 1 species
UUUAUCAAGAGUGGCGGAGGGACUAGGCCCUGCGAUGCCCGGCAACCAAGUAGCGAUACUACGGUGCUAAUUCCUACAGAUUUUUUCGGAUCUGAAAGAUAAGG